rnacentral:rRNA from 1 species
GACGAACGCUGGCGGCGUGCUUAACACAUGCAAGUCGAACGGUAAGGCUCCAGCUUGCUGGGGUACACGAGUGGCGAACGGGUGAGUAACACGUGGGUGACCUGCCCUGCACUUCGGGAUAAGCCUGGGAAACUGGGUCUAAUACCGGAUAGGACCGCACCGUGAGGGUGUGGUGGAAAGUUUUUUCGGUGUGGGAUGGGCCCGCGGCCUAUCAGCUUGUUGGUGGGGUAAUGGCCUACCAAGGCGGCGACGGGUAGCCGGCCUGAGAGGGUGGGCGGCCACAUUGGGACUGAGACACGGCCCAGACUCCUACGGGAGGCAGCAGUGGGGAAUAUUGCACAAUGGGCGGAAGCCUGAUGCAGCGACGCCGCGUGGGGGAUGACGGCCUUCGGGUUGUAAACUCCUUUCACCAUCGACGAAGGGUUUCUGACGGUAGAUGGAGAAGAAGCACCGGCUAACUACGUGCCAGCAGCCGCGGUAAUACGUAGGGUGCGAGCGUUGUCCGGAAUUACUGGGCGUAAAGAGCUCGUAGGUGGUUUGUCGCGUCGUCUGUGAAAUUCCGGGGCUUAACUCCGGGCGUGCAGGCGAUACGGGCAUAACUUGAGUACUGUAGGGGAGACUGGAAUUCCUGGUGUAGCGGUGAAAUGCGCAGAUAUCAGGAGGAACACCGGUGGCGAAGGCGGGUCUCUGGGCAGUAACUGACGCUGAGGAGCGAAAGCAUGGGGAGCGAACAGGAUUAGAUACCCUGGUAGUCCAUGCCGUAAACGGUGGGCGCUAGGUGUGGGUUUCCUUCCACGGGAUCCGUGCCGUAGCUAACGCAUUAAGCGCCCCGCCUGGGGAGUACGGCCGCAAGGCUAAAACUCAAAGGAAUUGACGGGGGCCCGCACAAGCGGCGGAGCAUGUGGAUUAAUUCGAUGCAACGCGAAGAACCUUACCUGGGCUUGACAUAUACAGGAUCGCGCCAGAGAUGGUGUUUCCCUUGUGGCUUGUAUACAGGUGGUGCAUGGUUGUCGUCAGCUCGUGUCGUGAGAUGUUGGGUUAAGUCCCGCAACGAGCGCAACCCUUAAGCUUAGUUGCCAUCAUUAAGUUGGGCACUCUAAGUUGACUGCCGGUGACAAACCGGAGGAAGGUGGGGAUGACGUCAAAUCAUCAUGCCCCUUAUGAUUUGGGCUACACACGUGCUACAAUGGACAAUACAAAGGGCAGCGAAACCGCGAGGUCAAGCAAAUCCCAUAAAGUUGUUCUCAGUUCGGAUUGUAGUCUGCAACUCGACUACAUGAAGCUGGAAUCGCUAGUAAUCGUAGAUCAGCAUGCUACGGUGAAUACGUUCCCGGGUCU